rnacentral:snoRNA from 1 species
AAUCCAUGGUGAGGGCAAUCACGUUCUACUCCUUAAAACAUUCUCAGGCUUCAUAGAAAGGUUCAGUCGGUCCUUUCUGAAAGCUUGAGAUCUUUGUUCUCAAC